rnacentral:rRNA from 1 species
GGACGAACGCUGGCGGCGUGCCUAAUACAUGCAAGUCGAGCGAAUGAUUAGAGAAGCUUGCUUCUCUCUGAUUAGCGGCGGACGGGUGAGUAACACGUGGGUAACCUACCCUAUAGACUGGGAUAACUUCGGGAAACCGGAGCUAAUACCGGAUAAUACUUCGAAACACAUGUUUUGAAGUUGAAAGAUGGUUUCGGCUAUCACUAUAGGAUGGACCCGCGGCGCAUUAGCUAGUUGGUGAGGUAACGGCUCACCAAGGCAACGAUGCGUAGCCGACCUGAGAGGGUGAUCGGCCACACUGGGACUGAGACACGGCCCAGACUCCUACGGGAGGCAGCAGUAGGGAAUCUUCCACAAUGGACGAAAGUCUGAUGGAGCAACGCCGCCGUGAGUGAAGAAGGAUUUCGGUUCGUAAAACUCUGUUGCAAGGGAAGAACAAGUAGCGUAGUAACUGGCGCUACCUUGACGGUACCUUGUUAGAAAGCCACGGCUAACUACGUGCCAGCCGCGGC